rnacentral:rRNA from 1 species
AGAGUUUGAUCCUGGCUCAGAUUGAACGCUGGCGGCAGGCCUAACACAUGCAAGUCGAGCGGUAGAGAGAAGCUUGCUUCUCUUGAGAGCGGCGGACGGGUGAGUAAUGCCUAGGAAUCUGCCUGGUAGUGGGGGAUAACGUUCGGAAACGGACGCUAAUACCGCAUACGUCCUACGGGAGAAAGCAGGGGACCUUCGGGCCUUGCGCUAUCAGAUGAGCCUAGGUCGGAUUAGCUAGUUGGUGGGGUAAUGGCUCACCAAGGCGACGAUCCGUAACUGGUCUGAGAGGAUGAUCAGUCACACUGGAACUGAGACACGGUCCAGACUCCUACGGGAGGCAGCAGUGGGGAAUAUUGGACAAUGGGCGAAAGCCUGAUCCAGCCAUGCCGCGUGUGUGAAGAAGGUCUUCGGAUUGUAAAGCACUUUAAGUUGGGAGGAAGGGCAGUUACCUAAUACGUAAUUGUUUUGACGUUACCGACAGAAUAAGCACCGGCUAACUCUGUGCCAGCAGCCGCGGUAAUACAGAGGGUGCAAGCGUUAAUCGGAAUUACUGGGCGUAAAGCGCGCGUAGGUGGUUUGUUAAGUUGGAUGUGAAAUCCCCGGGCUCAACCUGGGAGCUGCAUUCAAAACUGACUGACUAGAGUAUGGUAGAGGGUGGUGGAAUUUCCUGUGUAGCGGUGAAAUGCGUAGAUAUAGGAAGGAACACCUGUGGCGAAGGCGACCACCUGGACUAAUACUGACACUGAGGUGCGAAAGCGUGGGGAGCAAACAGGAUUAGAUA